rnacentral:rRNA from 1 species
UUAAAGGAUUAGAUACCCCACUAUGCAUAGUCGUAAACCUGACAGCUCUUUACAUUCGCUGUUCGCCCGGGGACUACGAGCGUAAGCUUAAAACCCAAAGGACUUGACGGUGCUUUAUAUCCCCCUAGAGGAGCCUGUCCUAGAACCGAUAAUCCCCGUUAAACCUCACCUUUUCUUGCUUAUUCCGCCUAUAUACCGCCGUCUCCAGUCUACCCUGUAAAGGACCCAUAGUAGGCAAAAUCGGUUCAGCCCCAGACGACAGGUCGAGGUGUAGCGUAUGAAAAGGGAAGAGAUGGGCUACAUUCAGUGAUAACACUGAAUACGGAGAGUUGAUUGAAAUAUUAACUUGAAGGUGGAUUUAGCAGUAAGCGGGGAAUAGAGAGCCCCACUGAAAUCGGCCCUGAAGCGUGUACACACCGCCCGUCACCCUCA